rnacentral:tRNA from 1 species
UUAAUUGAAGCCAAAAAGAGGCUUAUCACUGUUAAUGAUAGAAAUGAAUCAUAGAUUCCAAUUAAG